rnacentral:rRNA from 1 species
AACGAACGCUGGCGGCAUGCCUAACACAUGCAAGUCGAACGAGACCUUCGGGUCUAGUGGCGCACGGGUGCGUAACGCGUGGGAACCUGCCCUUAGGUUCGGAAUAACUCCCCGAAAGGGGUGCUAAUACCGGAUAAUGUCUUCGGACCAAAGAUUUAUCGCCUUUGGAUGGGCCCGCGUUGGAUUAGCUAGUUGGUAGGGUAAAAGCCUACCAAGGCGACGAUCCAUAGCUGGUCUGAGAGGAUGAUCAGCCACACUGGGACUGAGACACGGCCCAGACUCCUACGGGAGGCAGCAGUGGGGAAUAUUGGACAAUGGGCGAAAGCCUGAUCCAGCAAUGCCGCGUGAGUGAUGAAGGCCUUAGGGUUGUAAAGCUCUUUUACCCGGGAUGAUAAUGACAGUACCGGGAGAAUCAGCGCCGGCUAACUCCGUG